rnacentral:rRNA from 1 species
UGGGGAAUUUUGCGCAAUGGGCGAAAGCCUGACGCAGCAACGCCGCGUGAUCGAUGAAGCUUUUCGGAGUGUAAAGAUCUGUCGUGAGGGAAGAAUAACUUGGAUGCAAAUAGUUUUCAAGUCUGACGGUACCUUACAAGAAAGCACCGGCUAACUUCGUGCCAGCAGCCGCGGUAAUACGAGGGGUGCUAGCGUUGUCCGGAAUCAUUGGGCGUAAAGGGUCCGUAGGUGUCUUUGCAAGUCGUUUGUUACAUCCACCGGCUUAACCGGUGGCCUGCAAUCGAAACUGCAAGGAUAGAGUUCGAGAGAGGAAAGUGGAAUUCCUGGUGUAGCGGUGACAUGCGUAGAUAUCAGGAGGAACACCAAUGGCGAAGGCAGCUUUCUGGCUCGAUACUGACACUGAGGGACGAAAGCGUGGGGAGCAAACAGG